rnacentral:rRNA from 1 species
UACGUAGGUGGCGAGCGUUGUCCGGAUUUACUGGGUGUAAAGGGCGUGUAGGCGGGGAUUCAAGUCAGAUGUGAAAUUCCGGGGCUCAACCCCGGCGCUGCAUCUGAAACUGUAUCUCUUGAGUGCUGGAGAGGAAAGCGGAAUUCCUAGUGUAGCGGUGAAAUGCGUAGAUAUUAGGAGGAACACCAGUGGCGAAGGCGGCUUUCUGGACAGUAACUGACGCUGAGGCGCGAAAGCGUGGGGAGCAAACAGG